AGGAAGAAAAGGGUGGUUCAAAGGGUAGAAAGUUUCGUAAAAAUGUGAAGGCAGUCGAAAAGGAGGUGUUUCAAUUAGAAGAAGACGUAAAGCUUCUUGAAGAGAUGUAUCCUCAAGGGGAAAAGGCUGAGACAACAUGGGCACUAACGAUUCUUGGUUAUCUGACAAAACUUGUUUUUGGAAUUUUAGGGUAAGC